ensembl:lncRNA
ACUUAUCCUUUCUGUAGCUGCCUCUGCCCCAGUUUUGGAAGGGUGUGUUUGUGGCGUGACCAUGCUGGGACAUAGGGGAGCUGUGAUGGGCUCCUGGGGGGCUUCAAUUCUGGGACUCUGUACCCAAAGACAGGGGUCUGACGCCAGCAGGAUGGCUCCAGCUAACUUCUGGGACUGCUGCCUCUUCCCCUUCACUCGUUCGAAAUGUCACAUGGAGGGAGAGGGAAAGGGGAACGAUGAAUUUCUCCAACCAUCCCGUCCCACUGGAAAGGCUGGCUCUGCUGUCCUCUCCCCGAGCAUCUUGGGAGCCGCGGUGACGGUCCGCGGCUGUUUUGAGGCUGGGCUGUGAGAUCAGAGCACAAACCAGUUCUUCUUCACCUUUCAUCAUCGGGGCGGGAGCAGGGCCUUGCUCUGUGUGUGCUGCUUGGCGUUGAGCUGAGGGCAGAGGGUUCCAUCCCAGGCAGAGCUGCCCCAGGCAUGGCCAGGAUCCUCAGCAGGGUCAGAAGUGGCUGCAGUGAAAAUGGCAAUUGCCCCUAAUUUGUUGGUAAUAAGACUCGGCCUCUCCCCGUGGCCUGGGCCAAGGUGUGCUGAUUGCUGGAGAAGGGUGCCCGGUCCCUGCCCGGGUAAGCUUGCCCUGCAAAGCUGUGAGGGCAGUGAGAAAACACCCUCGGAAGCACUGAGAAACAUUCCGUGCCAGAUGAGCGCUAGGAAAGAGAACAACCCUUGCCAAAGGCCAGCCAGAAAGUGCUUUGCUGCGGCCUGGCAAGGCAGACAGGGACCCAAAAUGCUCUAGCAAAGCAGGUGGGACACCCUCUCACACUGCAGACCCACAGACUUGGAGUGCAGCUGAGGCAGCAGGGAGGGAAGUGGCAAGGCAUGGAACAACAGGUCCCAGCAGCGAGGUGAGUCACAGCUGCAGCGGGGCCGGCUCUAUGCAGGCACCUGCCAGCAGGACUGGGGCCCUGGGGGGGACAGGGUUGGAGCUGGGGGCUCUUUCGUGGUGAGAGUGGUGGGUUUGGAGAUGGCGCUAGGAUGUGGAUACUAAGGAUGGAAUGCUACUCAGGUGCUCUGGGGUCAGGGUUUUGAGGGGCAGCAAGGUGGUACUGGAUCUUUCCUCCCUGGGAAUGUGAACACUGAUGAUUCCACUGAGGGAUGUACUCAGGGCUGGUAUCUGACCCUCGCUGUAGGGUGCUGGGCUGUGUCCCGUCCCGAG